GAUGAACGCUGGCGGCGUGCCUAACACAUGCAAGUUGAGCGAUCUUCUUCGGAAGAGAGCGGCGGACGGGUGAGUAACGCGUGGGUAACCUACCCUGUACACACGGAUAACAUACCGAAAGGUAUGCUAAUACGAGAUAAUAUGUUUCAUUCGCAUGUUUGAAACAUCAAAGCUCCGGCGGUAUAGGAUGGACCCGCGUCUGAUUAGCUAGUUGGUGAGGUAACGGCUCACCAAGGCGACGAUCAGUAGCCGACCUGAGAGGGUGAUCGGCCACAUUGGAACUGAGACACGGUCCAAACUCCUACGGGAGGCAGCAGUGGGGAAUAUUGCACAAUGGGCGAAAGCCUGAUGCAGCAACGCCGCGUGAACGAUGAAGGCCUUCGGGUCGUAAAGUUCUGUCCUCAAGGAAGAUAAUGACGGUACUUGA
rnacentral:rRNA from 1 species